GCACACACACACAUAAUGGGCAAAUUAUGGUACACAGAGCUAAAAAUAAUCACUUCAAAUUAAAGACUAAAACCCAGAUGUAAAAGUCAUCCAAAAAUAUUUGCAAAUGCAGAACAUAUUCUAUAGUGUUCUCACUCGUGCCUAACCAGAUAACAAUCCCAGUAAUCUCCUGCUAUGCAGACUACACCAAUCCCAGUAAUUCCCUGCUAUGCAGACCAAACCAAUCCCAGCAAUCCCCUGCUAUUCAGACUUUAGAGAAAGCACAAAACUUGAGAAGAUGUGUUCCAUCCAAAAUUAGAGUCAUUUAUCUCCUAAUUAUAAUAAUUUCUCAGUUUAUGUAUAUAUAACGGUCACCAAAAUUUAGCCUAAAAUGUCCAUUGUAUCUAUUUCUAUUUUUAUCUGCAUAUAAAUAAGAAGAAUCAAUCACACCAGAAGCAGACAAGAAAACAAAAAAGGGAAAAAAUUGGAAUUCCUGAAAAACAGAAAACCAUACCGUAAGUUUUUUUGACAGGCUCAUCGACAGG
rnacentral:misc_RNA from 1 species